rnacentral:rRNA from 1 species
GCAAGUCGAGCGGAAACGAUGAUAGCUUGCUAUCAGGCGUCGAGCGGCGGACGGGUGAGUAACGCGUAGGAAACUACCCAGUAGUGGGGGACAACAGUUGGAAACGACUGCUAAUACCGCAUACGCUCUACGGAGGAAAGGGGGCUUCGGCUCUUGCUAUUGGAUGUGCCUGCGUGAGAUUAGCUAGUUGGUGGGGUAAAGGCCUACCAAGGCAAUGACACCUAACUGGUUUGAGAGGAUGAUC